rnacentral:misc_RNA from 1 species
CCUUUUGGACUCUCUAUGCUUGGUAUGGACUGGGGGGCGACUCCAGCAUGUUAACCAUAGACAGUUUAAUAAGGUGUUGUGUUCAGAGAAGGUGUGUGUUGAUGCAUGUGUUGGAAAGCUGUUGAGAAGUAUGGUACGGGUUGACGGAAGGCCUGGCUAGUUUUGAAUUUGUGCACGGUUGCGACUAAGUCCCAGAGAUGGACUGGGGGAGUGGAUGGACUGGGGGAGACAUGGGCUCUGUACCAGGUUCGGUGCAGCUCAUCACAAGUUACCUUGCGUUGGCAGAGCUCAGUGGAGUUGGGCGUACCAGGCUGGGUGAAGGAUCAGAGGCAUGACUUGGGAGGAUUGGACUUGUAGGCAGAGGCAGACGUUGGACAGUGACAGUGGGCAGCCCAGGUGGUGCUGUCAACCAACUUCACGGCUCCAACUCUGUCUCUUCUUCAUGCUUGGGUUCCGUGGACCGAUGG